GAUCAAUGAAGACAAUGUCCUCUUCAUUGUUGAGAACAUGAAUGUUGCUGCAAUAGAGACAACUGUUUGGGCGCUUGAGUGGGCAAUUGCAGAACUCAUCAACAACCCUAAGAUCCAAGCAAAACUUCGGACUGAGAUUGACACCAUUCUCGGCCC